GAUGAAGAAUGUAGCGAAAUGCGAUACUUAGUGUGAAUUGCAGAAUCCCGUGAACCAUCGAGUCUUUGAACGCAAGUUGCGCCCGAAGCCAUUUGGUUGAGGGCACGUCUGCCUAGGCGUCACAUAUCGUUGCCCGAUGCCUAUUGCACUGUGAUAGGAAAUUCUAGGGCGAAAGAUGGCUUCCCGUGAGCGUUGUUGCCUCGCGGUUGGUUGAAAAUCGAGUCCUUGGUAGGGUGUGCCAUGAUAGAUGGUGGUCGAGUUUGCACGAGACCGAUCAUGUGUGCGCUCCCCAAAAUAUGGACUCUUUGACCCCACACGCGUCUUUUGACGCUCAUGACGAGACCUCAGGUCAGGCGGGGCUACCCGCUGAGUUUAAGCAUAUCAAUAAGCGGAGGA
rnacentral:misc_RNA from 1 species